AUUCCCAGCUCCAAUAGCGUAUAUUUAAGUUGUUGCAGUUAAAAAGCUCGUAGUUGGAUUUCGGAUGGGUUUGACCGGUCCGCCUUUGGUGUGCACUGGUCGCGCCUAUCUUGCUGUCGGGGACGCGCUCCUGGCCUUAAUUGGCUGGGACGCGGAGUCGGCGAUGUUACUUUGAAAAAAUUAGAGUGUUCAAAGCAGGCCUAAGCUCUGAAUACAUUAGCAUGGAAUAACGCUAUAGGACUCUGGUCUUAUUGCGUUGGUCUUCGAGACCGGAGUAAUGGUUAAGAGGGACAGCUGGGGGCAUUCGUAUUUCAUUGUCAGAGGUGAAAUUCUUGGAUUUAUGAAAGACGAACUUCUGCGAAAGCAUUUGCCAAGGAUGUUUUCAUCG
rnacentral:rRNA from 1 species